rnacentral:lncRNA from 1 species
CUGCCCUUGACCCAUUAAGAAAUACCAUCUUACUUUUAUGAGUUAUGUUACACAAAUAGGAUUGCUGGCAGGAUUUAAGAACAGGAGGAACACCUGUCAACAUUUCAUCGAACAGAUUGAAAUUUAAAAAAAUGAAAAAAGAAGAAGAAGGAAGAAGAAGAAAAAAAGAAACCUGUCACCAACCCCGUAUCUAAACCUUGUUCAAGCAGCAUAACUCUACUUUUAUAAAGAAAUGGUGAUCACCAGAAGCACAGUUUUGUUGGACAAGUAGGACUGCAUAAUAUAUUCACUUGCAGUAUUUUUGACCAGUACAAUAUUAAUUACAAUAAUACACUUACGUAUAUCAUAGAGGAAGAAAAACUGAAAACCUCCAGCUUCAAUAUAGUUUAACAGCAGCCACCUUAAUUUUCUAUUGUAAAUUGUUGAUUAUGAACCUUGGAAGUAUAUCAGUUUGUUCCAUAGGAAAUAACCACCUCCUUAGAGUGUUGAAGAAGCGGCGGAUAUGUCUCAUGAAAGUGUGUUCCUCUCUUCGGCAUAGCAAUUCACCAGCUGAUAUCAAUACACAAAGCACAUAUAGAACAGGCCCAAUGGAGUCAGGGAAGAAGAUCGAUAACAGUGAUGCCACUGCCGUAUUGCCAAAGAACACCAUACAAUGGAAAGGGUAAGUUGAACUUGAGGGGGGGUUAGCGUGCAUAUCUAACCUAAAAUUUGCGCCAUAUGUCAAAAUAACAUACACCAACGAGCUAAAAAUUGCCAUAUGCAUCGUUUUGGAGUGAGUUAUAAAAGGACUUUUGUCCAUUCCCUGAUACUUCACCUGCAAGAGUGCAAGCAACGUAGGAACAAUGAACUCAACGCUUUUACCAUUGGAAGUCAUUGCAAACCCUAGAUGAAGGAUAUACAAAAUCUGGAAUAUAAAAUAGACAUUGGCAGCACAAAAUUGUUCCCAAGUCAUGAAGUUGAGAGAAGGAUUAUCAGGUAGACGGGUAAACGGAUGAGUAUGAAUAUUUGUUUGUGAGAGUGAGAAAGGAAGAGAAAAAUGGAGGGUUUUGUUUAUGGCAGGUGGUGUUUAAGUGCACCUUUGGAUUUCACCUAUUGUGAGGGAUACAAUGAUCAAAAAUUCUGACGCAGCUUUCUUUCUUCCAGCUUCACCCCAUGAUACCCAUGGAACGUCAAACCCCUCAAUACAAGCGGAGGGAAGGGCA